ACUCUUGUCAGCAAUCAGUAUAGAAACCAGGAUCAGAGAAAAGAAACUCUUCUAAAACACAGCUAUACUUCUGGACUUCUGCAUGUGCUGUUGAUGAAGAAUUACAUUUUACAGCCUGGACAGUAUAAUAGCUUUUUACUGAUAGAAGUGUUCACCACCAUUCAUUGCUGUGUAAACAAAGGUGACACAAAGGUGAGACGCAGGCAUUCCUGUUGCAACUUGGUAAAGAUGACCUCCAAAGGGACAGUAUUCCUGAGCCUGCAGGAUCAGACAUUGGGAUUCACAGACAUACAGAUGCUGGACAGGUCUGUGAUUCAGAGAUAACUGGACAGAAAUUGACUGACUCUAAUCUCAUGAGGUUUAACAAAAGCAAAUGCAAGAUAUAUCUGUGAUAGAUUUGGGAGGUUAACCCUAACCAGCAGCCAAGUAUCUGAGCAGAUGUUUGUUCAUCCCCACCUCUCUCCCUCCCUCACUCCCCCCCUCCAAUCGUGGUUUUUCUGGUUUGCUUUUAUACUUUCCUUUUAAAAGAGUAAUUUUUUUUUUCUUUUUGGUCAAAAAGCAUCAUAUUAAUCUAUUCAGUAUAUUGAAAUAGAGUUAUUUCCAUCUUGUCAGCUUUUGUGUUUGUCUGUGUAUGUGUCUUUGUGUGUAAAGUAAUGGCCAUGGUGAAAAGAAAAACAGAGUCCUGAAAUGAGAAGGUAAAAUGUAUUUGCCUCUUUUUAAAUGUUUUUUAAACCUAUUGUGUUCCUCCUGCAGUUUUUCUGCUACAGAUGGCAAAUUGUGGCAAAUGUAAAACUGACAUUUUUCUACAACAAUAUUUGUAUGUAGGCCUAUUCCAACUUCUGCAUAUUCAAAUCACAUCAAAGCAACAGAAGAAAAGCAAGCACAAGCUUAUACUUACAGAGAAUCUGUACUAACCUGUGUUCCCUACAUGCCCCACAAUUGAUACGGAAACAUGCUGUUGGAGGGAAGGUUUCCAUCCCCCAGAAACUGAAACUUUGAUGGCAAACAACAUAUGAAAGUAGGUAACAUUAUCCAGGAGACAGCAUGAUUGCAAGGAAAUCCUAAGUAUGCUUGCUAGAUCUGGCCAGAUUCAGCAUCAAAGCUGCAUCAGUAUCAAAAGCAGAAGGACCAUGCACAAAUUCCUCCCAUUUCCCUGGCAAAGCAAAUAACUAAGACAGCCACACAGGUUAGUUAUAUAUUUCUGUUUUAAAAGAACUUGCUCACACACUUAUUUCUUGUAUGCUAGAUGUUUGCUACUGACUCACAGAUAAAUUUUCAUAUACUUUUUUUACUGUGAAAAUAAGUGGAAUUUAAAGUUGUUAAUACCUCCAGUAAGUGAUCAUGGUCUGACCCAAUGGAACGUGUCCUCCAACCUGUCUCAGCAGCAUGGAAAGUCUGUAGUGACACUGUCACAGGCACCCAUCUUCCAUGUGCUACAGAUACUUGCAUGCCCAUGGUCCUCCUAGAUUCUACUGCUGGGGCUAUUCAAAGCCAGGUGUCAGACACCAGAAUGAUAGUCCAUGGUGACUCAACGGUAUACUUCUCCAGCACUUUUUGCCUUUGGUCUCCUACUCAGAUGCUGGCUAUCCUGCUGCUGGUUUGCAGCAUGGCUCACCAGAGUCAGUUGCUUUGUUUUGUACUCAGAUUAUGGCCAAAGUGAAACUGCAGUCUUCUCAUCUCUCAAGCACUUUAUGCUACUAAGACUUGCUGAUCUGGAAUUUUGCAUUUUACUGUCGCCAUUCUCUCCUCAGACUUCCUGACUUUUUGACAAGCUUAAGGAAAGAGACUACACACUGCACCCCCAAGCCAUCAUUCUUUUAAUCCUCUGUGGACUGAGUCCUCUAGGCACCAAAGCCUCUGAACACUCCUGAAGGAAGGCCUUAUUUUCAAUCCAUUUUAAGAAUUCAUUAAUGUUAUUUCCAGUGAUUCUUCUUCCGCAGCGGUACAGUACACUCUGUUUUAACCAUUUUAAUUUAGAUUCACUUAUUUUUGUCUCUUGAAAUGUUUCAUUUCAGUCUUUAAUUUAAACACAGAUGCUCCACCUAUAAAGAAUAGUAGAAAAAAAAUAAUGUGUAGCUUUACUCCACAUUUCCUUAAUGGAAAAUAGUCAUUGCGAUUGUCUCAAGCUCUGAUGAGCAUGUAGGUUCAUUAAAAUAUGCCUUCCAGUUUUUCAUAAGAUCAAUAUAUAAUUUCUAGAGAUAAGCUGAAUUAAUUGUAUUUGCCUAGCAAGAUAAAAAAUGUGUAUGAAGGCGUAUGAGUAUGUAAGCAAGUGUUUGCAUGCUUUAUUUAAAGAAAUUUGUAUCAGUCACUAAUUUUAAGUUUUUAUAUUCUAUUUUAAACUGCACAACACUUUUGGCUAGCAUAUUUUUGUAUUUGAAGGCUGUGUUACAUUCCACAUUCAUCGGAAUGUCAAUCACUCACUACGACAGUGUCCCCUUUUUUAUCAGUUCCUUAUAUUAGGAUGCAGGUGCAAUUACAUUUAGCACUGCCAUUUGUGUCUACAUGAUCUGCCAUCCUCCUCAAUAGAUCUAAUACUUUCAUGGGCACUGAUGUAAAGCAGUGCACAGAGGUAAAAUUAAAUUCUAAUCUGUUGGCAAAUCUACGCUGGCAAGCAUUGACACUCCUGGCACUUGUUUGACAUUCUUGUACUGGAAAAAGUAACAGCUGCUUAUCAAUGAUGUAUUAGAGAUGGGCACAAACCAACUGGUGUGCACAUUCACACAGCAAGAAGAAAACAGCCAUUGGUUAAGUUAUCCCUUGUCUCAUAGUCCAUGCAUGGCUUGCAGCUGCGUCUUCAGUGGUUACUGACCUUGAUUUCAGACUCAAGGUCGUAUUGUUUGAAAAUAUUUCCACUAGAAGUAGCAUUGCAAUUACCCAGGCCAUUAGGUUCCAUUUGUUUCUUCAGUGUGCAUGUUUGUUCAUUGUUUGAAGCAACACCACAGAGCACAAACAAAUGUUCAGAGCCACUGCUACUGUAGAGGGGGAUAUCUCCAGAAUGGGUACGUGAGAGGGCCAUGCUCUUAAAGGACCGCUCCUGAAAGAGCCCUAGUCCACCACAGAUACAAAAAAGAGAGUGUGAGUACAGAUCAGGAAGUAGUGAUUUUCAACAUUUACUUCCGAACAUCAAGUUAUAAAAUAGACUCUGAAAGGGCAGGAGCUUCUUUAUGAUUCUUAUAGAGUGAGUGCAUGUGUUUGUGUGUGUAAAAGAGACUAAGUGCUAGGUGUGCCCAGAAGUAGUACAACAGUGACAAGAACCAUUUGAGAGUAGAAAAAAAAAAAAAAGGUUACUAGUGAGAAAUGCUACAGUCUGCUGCACAUUUCAGGUAUGCCACAGAUUUUAUAAGGUCACUGCCCAGAACUGUUUCAUCUGUUGCAAAGACACAGUAAAUGUGUGAAGCGGCCCUGAGGGCAAGGUUGAUAAAUCUUAGUACAAACAUGGUUGAUCUGCAGGGUUUCUCUCUUUCCUUUCAGAUCUGUUUUUGUGUUUGGUUUUUGUUUGUUUGUUUGUUUUGUUCAGUCCCACAGUAAAGAUGUUAGGCACAGCCAUUUGCAAGGAAAACUGUAUUUUCAAAAUAGAAAACAUGAAAACUUAAAAAUGGGGAAAAAAAAACAAACAAACCAAAAACAAGGGAAGGGAAUUGUUACAGAAAAAAAAUGGAACUGUCUGCUGACACAGAGGAAAAGAAUUGAAUAAGGUUUGAAGCUGACCAUUUUUGCUUUCUCAGCCAAGUUUUAAACAUCUUCAGGAAAAGCUUUAUCCUUAGGCUUAGCAGGAUCAGAGGAAGCUGACUUUCAAUAGAUAUGUAUUAUCUUUAAUAAAUAAGACAUACAAGAUAAAACAACAAUGUUGCAUCCUGACCACCACUUUAACCUUGCUUUAUCUCCAGGUUCACUGCAUGUUUCUUGAACUGGUCAGUUUACACAGUGAAGCAUAUAAUAUUUCCAUGGUUUUGUACAACAAAUCUGACAAACAAAAAGAAUUGGUAUUGCUUUAUAUUCUUUUAAAUGUAAUUUAGUUAUAGUUAGAGAAAUAACUGACCUCACUAAAGGUCACAGUACUUUAGCGCUGAUAGGUUCAGCAGACAACGUGUUUCCUUUCGGGAGGUUCAAGGAACAAUGAGAUGCAUCAUGUUGUACCUGAAAUCUUUCCUAGAGAAUGUCAAGAGAGAUAGGCAGCAAGGUGACACUGGCUCACUAAAUCCUAUUUACCUGUUACCAGUUAUUAUUCUCUUCAUCAGCAUCUGAUUACUUCUAACCAGUCACUAAUCAGGUAUUCCGUGGCUCCUGAAGCAUCUCUAGGAGCAAUCUGAGUAGAGGCAUUGUUCAGAUUGUACUUUCGGAUGCCAUUUUUCUCCCUACUCAUAGGUCCAACGUGUCAUGUGAAAAAGGCAAAAAGUUUGGCAAAAGAUAAAACCCUUGCAAUCAAGCUUGUCCUCAGAUAUCAGAGGGGUGAGGAUUGGCUGUGCUUAGGUUUUGAGUGUUGCCCAGUCCAGCUACAUUCAAUAUAUGAACUAUCACGAUUAUGGAUUCACAAAUAUCACACUGCCCAAUUCAUCUCGUCACUACCACCCUUAAGGAAUUUGGUUGCAUUCAAUGAGAACUCUCACGGCCACAUUAGUGAAUAGUGCAGUUUGUUAAAGCAACAGAUUACAGAUUAUUUUGAUUUGUUUGAUGAUAAAUACACUGUCUGCAAAGCAUGAGAAGUUAGCAAAUAACAUGAAUAAUAUGGCCAACCACAAACACAUUAAAUUAUGGAAUAGCUCUACAGAGAUUUCUAGGUUUCCUGGGGAAGCACUAAGUACAACAGAGUGUGCAAAUCUUACCUAAUAAGCAUCCCCAUGGGAGGGAAGAGAGGCUCAGCACGUUGACUAGUUCCAGAAGCCAGCCAUGUCCUCCCAGCUUGUCUGUGAUGGUAUCUUCCUCCAAAAAUCCUUCUGUCUUCAGCAUUUGUAUACUAUCUCCAUACUUUCAGGUGAAGCUUGAGUGACUCUAGUCACAAAUAUCUUUGUUUUGCAAUGUUUACUCAAAGAAUGUUUUUGAAAGAAAGGUUAGAAAUCUGCUGGCUUAGGGGUGGGUCAGGAAAACAAGACAUUUUCUCAUUUCCAAUUGCAACAAGUCUCCAUCCCUGCAGGAUGAUCACAGGGCUCAAUCAUGGGAGCACCACUCUGCUCCUCACUCCAAGUUGUUUUUUUCUUAGAGUCAGCAUACCAGGAUCCCCUGGAUUUUGUAAACAAUCUAAGGUUUGCAGGUCUUAUGUUGCUUAGGGACCUAUCAUGCAAUGGAUUAUUUACCACACUGCACACUGAAGGUUUACCUUCUCUCAAGAGGAGUACAUUUCAGUAAGUCAUCUCUGAUAAAUAUUCUACACAAUCCACCCUGAGACUAUAGUCACUUAAGCUUCACAAUAUUUAGAAGGAACUGGAGAGGUCACGUGCAGUCUUGUUAUCAGGAUUAGAGCUCAAGGGGCUCUCAUUCUGCUCACUAUUUAUGGGGUAAGAUGAUUGACUCGUAGUAUUUAGCAGAACAGUACUAUCAGUCCUGCAGAAGGCCUUAGGUGCAAUGGUCAAGACAAAGAAGGAGCCUGGAGGUAGAGGGGACUAUACUGUCACAUAAAGCAGCAGAGAUUUCUUAUCUCCUGGACUAAACAGUUACUCUAUCAUCUUUCUGUUUCACGAAAACUCUGCCAUCUUGGUAAACAUAAUUGACGUUUUCUUCAUACAUUGAUUUACACAGAAAACAUUCUUGGUCUUCAAAGUUUCAGAUGCAAAUAUUAUCAUUUUACUAUAUCAACAGUAAAAGACCACUGGAGUUACAUGCUUGCACACCUACUCCGACCAAUGAGUGCUGCGCUACAGCUGCAGUUCUCCCUGAUUCUCUUAGGACCUGCAAGCCCAAAACCCAAAUUUGAAGACUCCCUACAUGCAUGAAGGCAGCUUCCAAUUCUUCUCAUCAUCUAAGUUAUCAUCAAGCCUCUUGUGAUUUCCAGUUUCUUACAACAUGUUCUGCAUGUCUUAUGCUAGUUUCCACAGGGAGAAGUGUUUCAUUUAUUUAGACUAGAGCUUGGUUAAGAUCCCAAAUAGAAGAUUGCCUGUAGGAGUCCAUCUCUUAUUAAUGGCAUCACUGUGUAUGUAUCUCCACAUAAAGCACUUACAGGAGUAGUCAAGCAUUUUAAAAUAACUCUCACGUUAUAUUUUAUUCAAACUGAUAUUCAAAUGUAAAUGUAAUUUUACCAUGAUGAUUCUGAACAAUGAAUUACUUAAAGCACUUAAAUACACAUUAAGAGCAUUUUGCUUUUAUUCAGUUUACACCUGUUUAUGAGAAACAUGCAAUCAUUCUUAAUAGAAGCUCUUUAUUAAUGACAUUUAAUGAAAGCUCACUACUGACUAUUCAAUUAAAAAUAACACAGCAGCGUGUGAGGCUUUGAAAUUCAGUUUCCAUUAUUUCUAGUAAGUCCUUGAAGUAAAUCUAUGCUGUCUGUGGACAGUUCUUUGAAAGGUAGCAUCAAGAAACCUUAAUGAUGGUAUCAACCUGCCAAGGUGAAUCAAGUCAUAGAAAUAGUAAUUACAGAAGACUUUGAAAUUAGUUUAAGGCAGUAUGUCAGGCAAUAUUUAGUUUUAAAAAUACCCGAGAGAGGCUUUUGAAUUGCUUUUUAUUCUUGCAGUUUAUAGAUGAUGUAUAGAACUUACAAAAACCAUAGUUGGAAUUUGAAUUCCUUACAAUUUAGAAUACAUGCCACCUACAGCAGAACUUCCCUUUGUGCAUCUGCAAUGUAAGAUUUUCAUUAAGGAUGUUAAACAAAAUUUUGCUUUUUCACUAAAAAAGGCAGUGAAAGUUGUAACAGAGAAAGUAAACAUGAAUACAUAGCAAAAUAUCUUCCUAUUACCUUGUAUCUCAUCUGCACUUGAAAAAAGUCAGACUCAAUAUGGGGAAAAAAAGACCCAAAUGCACUUGUAGAAGACUGAUUUGUCCAUGCCAGUACACUGUGUGAGGCCUGGUUGUUAAAUGGUAUUAUGGGGCGUGUGCCCAAGCAUGCUUCUGGCAUAACAAGAUGGAAAGGGACGGGAAUUGGAGAGAAGAACAGAAGAGGAUGGUAAAUCCACACUGAUGACAGUAGACAGAGGCACAGAUAAUAGCAAGCAUUUCUAUUGAAUUAUAGCAGCCUCAACAUGAAGUUAUAUCACACAUGUGAAGGAAGUCCCAAUACUUAUAAAGGUGGUGAAUGUAGUGCUCAUAGACUAAAUAUUAAUACAGAGACAAAUAGACACAUAAACACAUAAAUGUUACUGAUCUGCUGAUCUUACAUCUCGAUUUGCACUGCAAAAUGGUUUAGAAGAGGUGUAUUAUUUUGAAGAAAAUCUAGAAUUAAAUUAUGGUUGAUGAGAUUUGUUUUGGCACAUUUUGCCAUUCUGAUGUGACUUGAAAUUACUAGUAGAGAAUAGCAACCAAGGUGAGUUGUCUCAUGAUUUUGACAGUUAUUAGAAGUGUUAUUAAGCUCAAAUAAUUAUUCUUCUAAGUAAAGCUAAACAAUAGGUAGUAGGUAUCUGCAGCCAGAGACAGUUGCUUCUUGUUUUAAUAAAAUUUUACUGUGUGCUUAGUUAAGUUAAGCAUUUUCAAAUCUUUCAUUGUCCUUUGAGACACUGAUUGAUUGCAACAUGGCUCUUGGGUCAGUACUGCUGUGGCAAAUCAAAAUGUUGCCAAUGUAAGCUGUGUGACUGCUUUAUAGAAAGCAAUCUGUCACUUUUCCCUGUGUUCUGCAGAUAUGCUAGUUCAGCACUUUUCUUCUAUGCUAAGCAUUUCCUCUAAGAGUGAUAGCUGUGGAUAUGUAAAGUGCUUUCAUUGGCAUAUUCCUCUUUUCUGAAUACCUGAUUACUUCAUGAACCAAAUACAAUCAGCACUUAAAUGGAAACCACAAGUAAUUUAUUUUAUAAUAGUCUUUAGCAGAUAGAAAAAGGUUAUCCAGAUUCAGGAUAUAUUAUUGCAUUUUUGCUUGAGCUUCAGCUGUGGAAUACUGACUACUGCUAACCAAGUCCAUAACCAUAGCUUAACAAAACAGAGGCUUAAAGAGGAGUUCUUGUGGUUUCUCACUUUAAGAUCUUUUUUUCUCAAUGUCUCAUCAUUUACUACACUUUUAAAAGCUUCAGUAAAUAACAGUAAUUCAGUCUUGUAACAAGCAAGGAAAGGCCUAAAGUUUUCCAUGUUACCUGUGGGGAGCCAUAGGUAGUGUUUCAAAUAGCAAUAUACGCUUUCGUAAUAAGCAAGAGCUAGUUGGUUUUGUUUAUUUCUUUAAACACUCAGAUGCCUCAAAGAGCACAGAAUAACUUUUUACCAGUCCAGAUCAAUUCAGAAGAUGCUAAAUUUAGAUCCUUGAAGUUUGAACAUGAAAUGACGUUGUUUUUUUCAGAGUUAACUUGUUACUGAAUUCCUACUGCACUUUUUCUUUUUUUUUUUUUUUUUUUUUUUUAGCACAAUUUUCACUUUGAGCACUGUUUCUUUUAUGAGAGUAUCCAUCUUUCUACUCCUUAUAAAGGGGGAAAAAAAAAAAAGUAAUUUGCCUGCUUUGGGUGACAGGUUUAAGAAGAUAACUCUUGCCACAGAUAGUUGCAGAACGCAAAACAAUGACUUUCUGUUGAAGAUUGUUGGCUUUUUUGGUUUUUUUUUGCUUGUUUGUUUUUGUUUUUCUGGAGUAAGUAGUACAAAAUCAGGGUGGGUGAAAAUACAUAUUAAUCUUGAAACCACUCUAACUUGUUUCAUCUUAACCUACGUUUACUCCUAAAGAUUCUGUUCAGAAUCACUCAGAAGUUACCAACAACAUUGGAAAGUUCUGAAUAACCUUUACUUGCCUGAUGUUGCACAGAUUGAGAACAGUUUUUCCUGCUGCAUAAGCAGCUCCUAAUGAAGUCAGACAAAUUUUGUCAGCUCAUUACAGGUCAAGAUUGGAAAGGGUCUUGUGUUAAUUCUUGGGCAUGGGUGCAAAUUAGAGAAAGCACAGAAACACUUCCUAUUUUCAUAUUUUAAGUGUUGUGUAGACUCUCAGUAAAAGAAAUCCAAAAGAUUUUCAAAUUUCUGACCACAUGCAAAUGUUCAUACCUCCUCCUACAAAUAGAUUUCACCAAAGGAUAAGGAAUAAUCAAGCUCUCUCCAACGGCCUGUCUUUAACAGAUUGCUACUCCCUACAGCUCUAGCAACUGAUGAGAUAAAAGGCAGCAAUAGUCACCCCGAGUUCAAUGGCAACAUAUGUUAUCCGGGUAAAUGAAACUUGAGGUUUCUACACUUUCUAUGCCCUGGAUUCCUGUCUCCUAUGAUAAGAGACAAAUGUAGAUCAUGGAAAAGAUGUGGGUUGGAUGGAUCCACUUUCCACUUUAAACUGUAGAGAUUUUAGCUUUUGUGAUAUGAGACUACAUGGACGGGUGAAGAGAAGUUGAAGGUAAAUUUGGUUCCUAAUAGCAAAUACUCCAGUGCUCCCAAAGCUCAUUUACAGAGCUAAGCAUUUCUUCACCACAGUUGAUUAUAGUGCCUGAGUACUCCAUACAAGCAAUUUCUCACUGAUUUGUAGGAGGAGAUGUUAUUGACAUUACUUUUAUUUAACCUUCAGUAGUACCUAAAUGGUGCUUUUCAGUUGCAAAGAGAGAUCACAGGAGAGAACUCUCUGAAACAACAAAUGUUAACAUUUAUUUUUCAAAAUUCUAUUUUGGCAAAUAAAUAACUGCCAUGAAUUUUAAGAUGCCUGGGUUAAAAUACUCAAAGGCAGACCUAUGGUUUAUAGCUACCACACCAUAACUGCAUUCAAAUUUUGGGUAAAUACUAUUCUGGAACUGUAUUUACCUUAAAGUUCUCAAACCUAGUUUAAAGCCCUGCCAAUUUUCCCCAAGGACCUUCUUCCACCUUUGAGAAAAGUGAAACCCAUCUGGUGUCUGCAGGCCCGGCACCAUGUAGGACAUUCAGAUAUCAAAAAGACCCAAAGUUUGGGCAGUGGCACUAGCCACAAAGACAAGCAUUUACAGAUUAGACACUGUUGAUGUUUUUUCAGUGUCUCUACCCUAAUUUCUGAUGUAUUGGCAGAUCAAAAUAAAGUUAUUUGGGAAAACACAUAUCCUUCAUAGCCUUUGUCAGCUGCUCCAAACUUGUGUUAAUUAUGAUUACCCAUUGUCCAAACAUGUUUCUUGAUAUUUUCCAUGAAGUUAUAAUUCAGUAGGUCAUUCCCAAGCAUUAAUCUGUGGAUUUAUUGCUCACAUGCUUUAUUCAGCUAUCUGGAUACAGACAUUAAUAAACUUAAUAGUUUGUUUCUCUUAGUUCAGUAAAUUUCCUACAUCAAUAAUGACCUAACUGAAUUAAAUUAGAUCAACAGUUUUAUUUUAUUUAACCCCCACAGACUUUUACUUUGUGGGGCUUUUUUGUUUGUUUGUGGUUUUUAAUGUUUGUUUGUUUUUCGCCAAUUUGGAUUUUUUCUUACAGAAAGCUAAAAGUAUUUUGUACUGUGAUUGAAAAAGCACAGGAUAUAAAAGAGAAAAAAAAUCUGUUUUAAAUAGGUGAUGGUUAUUGUUUCAGAAGCACUGAAGACAAUACACUGUAUUGUGUCAGUCCAUAAGCUGCACACAAAGCAGUCCGAUGUUACAUCUUCAAGGUCUUUUCCAACUGAGCGGAUUCUAUGAAACUGUUUAAACCCUGGUUUGUUGCCUUACUAAUGAGCUCAUAAGAAAUGGGGAGAGGGUAGACUUUAAAUUCAAGAGCAUGCAACAACUCCAAAAUAUUACAGCCUAUUGCAUUUGUAUGUUUCAAAAAACAGCCUUCAGGACCUUCAAAGAGUCAGUUCAUUUCAAUUACGUAUUUCUAAAUAGCCCUAGCUUGGUAUGGGAAAACUGGGGAAUGAUACCAUCAUUUCCUGUGAAAAACAGGAUACAGAUGGGCAUCCCUGCUCCCUCUUAUCUGCUAGCAAAGCCCAAAAGAUGGGAACAAAGGAGUUUCUGCUGAGAUCCCAG